CAUAGGGUAAAAAAUUAACGGCAUCUGCAUAAUAUUCUCUCUACACACUGCUGUUGGAUGGAAAAUACAAAAUUUAAAAAAAAAGAAAGAAAGAAAGAAAGGUGACAGUGUAUGUAAGUAGAUUUUUGUUUUCAGUGAAGGAGACCUGGGAAAAGAUGGAUUUCUCUCUGUAUCUUCAAGAGUUAUCAGAUGGUACAUGC
rnacentral:lncRNA from 1 species